rnacentral:rRNA from 1 species
AUACGGAGGGGGCUAGCGUUGUUCGGAAUUACUGGGCGUAAAGCGUACGUAGGCGGACUGAUCAGUUGGGGGUGAAAUCCCAGGGCUUAACCCUGGAACUGCCUUCAAUACUGUCAGUCUUGAGAUUGGAAGAGGUGAGUGGAAUUCCUAGUGUAGAGGUGAAAUUCAUAGAUAUUAGGAGGAACACCAGUGGCGAAGGCGGCUCACUGGUCCAAUACUGACGCUCAGGUACGAAAGCAUGGGGAGCAAACAGGAUUAGAUACCCUAGUAGUCC